rnacentral:misc_RNA from 1 species
AAAUGUAGGUAACUGUAUCUUAAGCGUUUCUUUAAAAAUGGAAGGUCAGAAUAAUAAGUCAGGAAAAUAGUAUCACUAGAAUAACACAGAAGACGAUUGGGAAAGACGUCACAAGGCGGAGUAAAACCAAACCUUAGAUAAGCAAAUGGGAUAGAUCGGGCAUCGCUUGCCAAAAGGUACUGGUAAGGUGACUACAUAGGAGGUCAGUAAAAUUCAG